rnacentral:rRNA from 1 species
GAUGAGCGCUGGCGGCGUGCCUAAUACAUGCAAGUCGAGCGAACGGACGAGAAGCUUGCUUCUCUGAUGUUAGCGGCGGACGGGUGAGUAACACGUGGAUAACCUACCUAUAAGACUGGGAUAACUUCGGGAAACCGGAGCUAAUACCGGAUAAUAUUUUGAACCGCAUGGUUCAAAAGUGAAAGACGGUCUUGCUGUCACUUAUAGAUGGAUCCGCGCUGCAUUAGCUAGUUGGUAAGGUAACGGCUUACCAAGGCAACGAUGCAUAGCCGACCUGAGAGGGUGAUCGGCCACACCGGAACUGAGACACGGUCCAGACUCCUACGGGAGGCAGCAGUAGGGAAUCUUCCGCAAUGGGCGAAAGCCUGACGGAGCAACGCCGCGUGAGUGAUGAAGGUCUUCGGAUCGUAAAACUCUGUUAUUAGGGAAGAACAUAUGUGUAAGUAACUGUGCACAUCUUGACGGUACCUAAUCAGAAAGCCACGGCUAACUACGUG